UGUUCCACAUUUCGCUAAGGUACAUCCAUAAACAGAAUAACAAUAUUGUAGGAGUGAAGUGGGGCAGUAGAGAAGGUACCUAGAUUCACUUGAUGAUGGAUGAUAGCCUAAAAGAGCAUCGUUGAGUUUCCGGAUUUCGAGAGAAAUUAAGCCUAGAAACAGCACCAAGACUAGUGCCGCGCUGGAGAGGGAAGACACUGACAUCCUCUCUCGAGUGUCAAUGGCAAAGAACGACGCGUUCUUGGGAUCAGUGGGCGAGUUCUUGAAGCGGUGCCAGCAAUCCGGCGAGUCUUUGACGAUCGAGUCUCCAGAUAUCGGAGCCAAACGCGCACAUGAGGCUCUACGAUGAUCUCCUUACCAACGGGCUAUGUAUCAUUCACUUUCGAUGCGGUAUAAGAGAGUUGUGGAUCUUCAUAACAUGCUUGGAGGAGAGAAUCAUCAUCAUCUUCGUCAGCAUCACCUUCGUUCUUCAAUUUCUGAAGAAAUGGAGCUGAAACCAGGUCUCUCAGCUCUCGUCACCAGCGGAGCUUUUGGAAUUAGUAAGCCUUCUAUUUCCAUAUAUGUGUCAAGGUGUGGAUCUCUUGAUAAUUUAUUCUUUCAUUUAUAUAUGUUUCAGUGAUUGAAUGAAUAUGAAUUAUUUAGGACUGUAAUGGAAGUGUAUGUAUAGCUGCCUUGAAUGUUAAAGUUAUUCUGCUUGUAUAUAUUGGUGAGGAUUUUGUGACCUUCGGACCGUUGUUUUGGUUUUGUCCUGAGGAAUUAAGUUCUAGCAAAAUAGCUUGAAAUGCUUAGUUUUGUGGUAUGGGAAUAGAAAUGAUGGUUUUGUUGUCCGUGAAGUUUGUAACUAGAUAUCAAUAUGGAUUCUGGAACGAGGGGUUCUGUACUUGUUGCGUUAUUUCUCUAGUUGUAUAAAGAUUCUUUACUGUCAAAGUAGUGUCCCGUUGAACUGAUUAAUUGUUUAGUUUUCUGGUUGAUAUUGUUUUCUUGCACUGGCUAGAAUUGGUUGGAAUAGAAAUAUAAUGAAUUGAUUCCCAGUGGUACCGAGUCUUGUUGAUGUCAUGAUUCCUUGCUUGGUUAUGUUGGAGUACAUUGUCUGUGACUGUCUAAACUUAGCAGUAUCAAUGUCUAGGAUUUAUGUCAAAAUCAAAUAGUUGAAGCAUUGGAAUUGUGUUAUGUAUUAACUUUGGGCUAUGCCAAUAGCUAGAGUUGAAUUGAGAAAUAUAUCUGCAAGGAUUCUCUACUUUGAUAUAAGUAAACAAUCAUUGACCUUUUGAAACUUCUUCGGUGCUUGGACCUGCUUCAUCUCUUGCUUGAAAGCGUGCAGUUACAAAGAGCUUUUUCAUAUGGCCAUUGACUCUGUAGGUCUUAUCGUUUUGCCUGUCAUAUUACUGAAAAUCUAUAAUCAGACUCAUAUUUAGUUCUUGUAUCAACUUUUGUAUAACCUUUAGGUAGAGAAAGCCUGGUUGAAUGGAUAGAGGAUCCAUCAUAUGGUAAUGCAAUGUAACAUUGUCUUGGAAUAUAAUUUAUGGUGAGAUUUGACACCCUAGAUGUUCUUUACAUUCUCUCUUUUAAUACUAAUUAGACUUUAAGAAAGUAACUUUAUUUUUUCAGAGGAAGUGGUAAGAUCCAGUCUCUAUUGAGCAGUAUCUACAUUUUCGAAUUUAGUCCACCUUGAACAUGAAUCAGAUUAUCUGCUUAGUUGAAAGGAAAAUAAAAUCCUAGUUGCUUUUUGUAUACUUGUCUUAUAGCUUUUGUCAUCACAGCUUUCACCACCAUUUCUUCUAUUAUGCUUAUAUUGCUUAUAUUGGUAUCAUAUUAACUCAUUUUGGAUCCUCAUUGACUCAUUGUUGGCCCAGAAAGGUUGAAAUUGGAAUUGCAACAUUGUCGGUUAAAAUGUGGGGGUACUCAGCAAGAGCGUGCUGCCAGGCUUUUUAUGCUUAAAUUCACCCAUGUAGAGAAGAUUCCAAAGAAGUUGCUGGCAAAGAAAUGAGUACGAGAUGUGCUAGGUUAACUCACUGCAAUUAUCAGAAUGUACUCAAAUCUGAAAAGUAUAUUGGAAACCAGUCCAACAAUACCAUAGAAGGGCUGAAGAAAUAAUGAGGAUUGUCUCAUCUCGAUUGGAUUGGAGGGGAAUUUUGUAUUUGCUCCAAAAUACUUUAAGCUGUGGAAUAAUGUUGAUGUUGUAUUACUCAUACUUUUGUAUCUGAAGUGCACUUUUAUAGCUGGAAUAAAGAGAGAAAUUACCAGAA